GCUUCUGCUCUGCGGGGGGCGCGUUUUAGCGGGAGCGGCUUCCGGAGAGCGCCCCCGGUACCUGUUCCAGACACUCGAAGUAGAAGAUGUGUUCCAAGAGGCGUGGAGGUGUAAUUGACAAAAGUCCAAAGUCCAUGGUGUUCUGAGAAUUGAAACGGGAGAUGCGCACAGCCUCCUUCCUCAGUGUCCUCCACACUUUAUCGUGGAUGGCUCCAAGCAGUGCUUACCUCACUUUGGAAAACUCUUUCACGCCUUCUAUAAGGUGCAGCAGGGAAAGCCUGACCCUUCACCCUGCCCCUGCAGUGACCUCAACCUCGCUCAUGUGGACCACCCUCCAGGCUGCCCCUGAUGCAGACCCAUGAUCACCUCUCCAGGUUGACUGCUGAAUAGCAGAAGAUGAACCUGAAAUUGAAGGGUUGUUGCAACGCAGUUUUUUAAUCAAAAGGUGAAGGUUCUAUUUAGUUUUUGUUGUUGCCUUUAAGCUUGUCAAUGAAAAGACGAAAACCAGUAUUGACGACAGUGAAGUCCAGUUUGUCCAGAAAUGGAAGCUGAUUUGUUAAAGAAAUGAAACAUAAGACGAAUGAGAGCGUGAGAUAUGUAAGAAGGUCAAUAAUAGAAAAUUGUAAAAAUCUGAAAGAAAUAUCCUCUCUUAUUCUAUUUGGACCAUUCAUUUGGGCUUCCGAAUUUCAGCUUUUCGCCAGAGAAUCAUCACGUGACCCUUAAUCAAAAAUAAGAGGGCAGAAUGAGGCUGUUGGACCUGGUUGCUUAAUUAUGUCCAACUGCUAAUU